rnacentral:lncRNA from 1 species
AGGUUAUGGAAGCCUAUGGGAGAAUACCCAUGCAAAAAUGGAAUAAAAUCAAGGUCCAAAAUGGAGAAAAAUCCUUUUUAAGCUUUACGGGUAGAAACCCCAAUUUCCACUAUGAAAUCAUGAUCUAAUGGUGUUUUUGAAAAUAAAAUCAAUGGAAAAUAGUGGAAUUAUGAGUUUGGAAGUUACCUACAUGAAAAUCAAUGUUGAAACCCUUGAAAAUUUCCUUUCCCAAAGGUUAGAGGUCGAUAAAUAAAGGAAAAAUUGAGAAGGGGGGUUAUAUAUAACGGUUGCCGCUUAAACGGUAA